GACGAACGCUGGCGGCGUGCCUAAUACAUGCAAGUCGAACGCAGUGGGUACGAGUUAGUAACACGUGGUUAACCUCCCAUCAGCUGGGAUAACCCUUGGAAACAGGUGCUAAACCUAUACUGCUGGCUGGACCCGCUGUGCAUUAGCUAGUUGGUGAGGUAACGGCUCACCAAGGCAACGAUGCAUAGCCGACCUGAGAGGGUGAUCGGCCACACUGGGACUGAGACACGGUCCAGACUCCUACGGGAGGCAGCAGUAGGGAAUCUUCGGCAAUGGACGAAAGCCUGACCGAGCAACGCCGCGUGAGUGAAGAAGGUUUUCGGAUCGUAAAACUCUGUUGUUAGAGAAGCGGUAUCUAACCAGAAAGCCACGGCUAACUACGUGCCAGCAGCCGCGGUAAUUC
rnacentral:rRNA from 1 species